UACGAACUGUGCAAACGUUAUUCGGAUUCACUGGGCUUAAAGGGUGCGUAGGCGGCCAUGUAAGUAGGGUGUGAAAUCCCCCGGCUUAACCGGGGAACUGCGCCCUAAGCUGUAUGGCUGGAGUGAGAUAGGGGUGUGUGGAACUUCCGGUGGAGCGGUGAAAUGUGUUGAUAUCGGAAGGAACGCCGGUGGCGAAAGCGACACACUGGGUCUCAACUGACGCUGAGGAGCGAAAGCGUGGGGAGCGAACAGG
rnacentral:rRNA from 1 species